CACGUAGGGGGCAAGCGUUGUCCGGAUUUAUUGGGCGUAAAGAGCUCGUAGGCGGUUCGGUAAGUCGGGUGUGAAACCUCCAGGCUCAACCUGGAGAUGCCACCUGAUACUGCUGUGACUCGAGUCCGGUAGGGGAGCGUGGAAUUCCUGGUGUAGCGGUGAAAUGCGCAGAUAUCAGGAGGAACACCGAGUGGCGAAGG
rnacentral:rRNA from 1 species